rnacentral:tRNA from 1 species
GCCUUUGUCGAUUAGUGGCUAAAUCAUCUCGUUGUGGUUCCAAAUAAUUUCUCAGAGAAGCCGGAAGUUCGAAUCCUCCCUGGGACA